rnacentral:rRNA from 1 species
UACGGAGGGUGCAAGCGUUGCUCGGAAUUAUUGGGCGUAAAGGGUAGGUAGGUGGUCUCAUUUGUCUAGGGUGAAAGCCUUGAGCUUAACUCAAGAAGUGCCCUAGAAACGGUGAGACUAGAGUUCUGGAGAGGGUCGUGGAAUUCCCGGUGUAGCGGUGAAAUGCGUAGAGAUCGGGAGGAACACCAGAGGCGAAGGCGGCGACCUGGACAGAUACUGACACUCAACUACGAAAGCGUGGGGAGCAAACAGG